GUGCCAGCAGCCGCGGUAAUACCGGCAGCCCGAGUGAUGGCCGAUCUUAUUGGGCCUAAAGCGUCCGUAGCUGGCCGCACAAGUCCAUCGGAAAAUCCACCCGCCCAACGGGUGGGCGUCCGGUGGAAACUGUGUGGCUUGGGACCGGAAGGCGCGACGGGUACGUCCGGGGUAGGAGUGAAAUCCCGUAAUCCUGGACGGACCACCGAUGGCGAAAGCACCUCGAGAGGACUGAUCCGACAGUGAGGGACGAAAGCUGGGGUCUCGAACCGGAUUAGAAACCCCAGUAGUCC
rnacentral:rRNA from 1 species